UGUAACGCUGGUCCACAUUUAAUUCAAAUUAUAAGUAUCUGUAAUAGAAAUAGAAUAUAUUUUCUGCAACCCAUCAAAAAAAAAAAAAAAAAAAUUACAACUGCUGCUCUAACAAUUUAAUUACAUAGGUAGAUAACUCAUUUCUUAUUAUAUGGAUUAUAAUUAAUACUCAUUAUACUUUUUAAUGAUAUUUGAAGGUGUGAAUUUGUUCAUGUCAUCAUGGAGUCAAGCUUCAAGUUCAUGCCAAGAACUUCACCGUGCACAGUGUUAUUUUUACUCUUUAUUUUGAUGUUACUUAUGAACCUUUCCUAAAUAAGAACUUGUGUCAAAUCACAGUGUGAUAAUUAAUAAACCCAUUGGGAAACAGGGUUUCUAGGGCACUCUAAAUUAAAUAACAUGUGAUGCAAUUUCCUGCACUGUAAAUUAGACCAAAAGAAGAGGAAAAUUAAUAUUCAGAGGAUGGUGGGCAAAGGUGCGAGCGUAAUAGCUUUAGUGAGUCAAGGGACGGAGAAGUACUCCAAUAGACCAGCUCACUGUUUAUCCUUGAGAUGUGAUGAUGGUAUUAUCUGCCCCCUCACUGAAAUGAACACGGCAGCACAACAACAACCUCCAGCCACAAAAUGACCAUAAAGUUUAAUUAACACCUACAGCUUACACUGAACAUCAACCUGCAUGAAGAUGUGAAUGUAUUGUGAAACUUUGUCAAGUGUCAGCUCGUCUGAACUUGGGAAAAGUUGCUGCUCUGGACGUAAACUUUAAUGCGAAAAGAAGCCACAUUACUGUCUCUGGUUUGAGCACAUUGGUGUUGUGCUAGCAGGAACAUAUGUAUUAUCAUGGCCUUACUCAUCACUGACUUGGCAUGCGUGUAUGCUUUAUUUAUGGCAAGAGAAAAAUCUAGUUCAGGAGCAAGAUGUCUGUGUAGGCUACACCUGCAAAGGUGAGGACAUUAAGUGAUCUAAACUCAUUCAUAACCAUUUUGCAUAUACUUUAAAUAGUAAUUUUGGUGAUUCUUCAAGCAAGAAUAUCAAACAUUUACUGGGUCCAGUAUCCAGACUGUUGUUCCUAAAUCCAAAGGACAACCUAAGUGUAACAGGAUGUCCUAUAUGUCUCUGUUACAAACUCCUUUUCAAACAUAGUCAUCCUUGUUCAAAGAAAGGAGAGCAAGACAACUGUGACCAAACAAAAGGCUGAAAAUAUAAAUGAAACAAGACUGCACACAUGGAUGAAAAUGCAGGUUUAGCGAGAACACUAUCAUCCUCUUGACUUCUCUGCCUGUGCUAAUGCACUUCAAUGUGGGCUCAUUCAGCAAGCAGGUGUUCCUCCUAAAUAAUUUAUCUUUGCUGAGUGUCAUUGGCCUAAAUCUGUGUUUCACAUGAAACUUACCUGAUUCAACCCAGAGGAAUUAUCCUGGUAUAGUUAUCGUGCUUCCUGUAACAGAGCCUUGUGUUUAUUGCCAUACAGGUAAAGUUUUUUGGUUUAAUUUUGAAUGUUUUGUAUUUUUUAGCUCAACCUUUUUACACAGCCGUCUUGACAAUGUAAACGUGUACAAAGCUACCUUGUUAUGUAAAGCAUGUACAAAGCCAUAAAAGGCCCACUACUUUGUGCAGUAAACGGUGACGUGUACCUGAAACACUGGAAUAUUGAUUGGUAGAGUAACUGAACAUGUUGAAACAAGUAAAGCAACAUAUUAAAUUGGAAUCAGAAUGA